UACGUAGGUGGCAAGCGUUAUCCGGAAUUAUUGGACGUAAAGAGCGCGCAGGUGGUUGAUUAAGUCUGAUGUGAAAGCCCACGGCUUAACCGUGGAGGGUCAUUGGAAACUGGUCGACUUGAGUGCAGAAGAGGGAAGUGGAAUUCCAUGUGUAGCGGUGAAAUGCGUAGAGAUAUGGAGGAACACCAGUGGCGAAGGCGACCACCUGGACUGAUACUGACACUGAGGUGCGAAAGCCAGGGGAGCAAACGGGGAUUAGAUACCCCCGUA
rnacentral:rRNA from 1 species